UACAGAGGGUGCGAGCGUUGUUCGGAAUUAUUGGGCGUAAAGGGCGCGUAGGCGGUGCGGUAAGUCACCUGUGAAAUCUCCUGGCUCAACUGGGAGCUUGCAGGCGAAACUGUCGGGCUGGAGUAUGGGAGAGGUGAGUGGAAUUUCCGGUGUAGCGGUGAAAUGCGUAGAUAUCGGAAGGAACACCUGUGGCGAAAGCGGCUCACUGGACCAUUACUGACGCUGAUGCACGAAAGCUAGGGGAGCAAACAGG
rnacentral:rRNA from 1 species